UCGACGCAUUCUUCGGAAUGAGUGGCGCACGGCUGAGGAACACGUGACUAACCUACCCCGGUGUGGGGGAUAACGGGUCGAAAGACUCGCUAAUCCCGCAUACGAUCCGCCUCGGCGGAGGAAAGCCGUAAGGCGCACUGGGCGGGGGUCGCGUCCCAUUAGAUAGUUGGUGUGGUAAUGGCGCACCAAGUCGAUGAUGGGUCUCUGGUCUGAGAGGACGACCAGACAGAUUGGGACUGAGACACGGCCCAAACUCCUACGGGGGGCAGCAGCAAGGAAUUUUCGGCAAUGGGCGCAAGCCUGACCGAGCAACGCCGCGUGGAGGAUGACGGCUCUUGGGUUGUAAACUCCUUUUGGGGGGGACGAUAAUGACGGUACCCUCCGAAUCAGGCCCGGCUAACUACGUGCCAGCAGCCGCGGUAAUACGUAGGGGCCAAGCGUUGUCCGGAAUUACUGGGCGUAAAGCGUGGGUAGGUGGUCGGUGAUGUGCCGCGUGAAAGCGCCGGAGUAAUGCCGGCGAGGUCGCGGUAGACACACGGACUCGAGGCUCGCAGAGGAACGUGGAAUUCCCGGUGUAGUGGUGAAAUGCGUAGAUAUCGGGAGGAACACCAGUGGCGCAAGCGGCGUUCUGGGCGAGACCUGACACUGAGCCACGACGGCGUGUGGAGCAAACAGGAUUAGAUACCCUG
rnacentral:rRNA from 1 species